rnacentral:rRNA from 1 species
AUAUCAGUCAUGCAUAGCAUAUCAAUAAGCGGAGGAAAAGAAACUAACAAGGAUUCCCUUAGUAACGGCGAGUGAAGCGGGAAGAGCUCAAAUUUGAAAUCUUCAAGGUUCUACCUUGACGAAUUGUAGUUUAUAGAAGUGUUUUCUGUUAGUGGAGUGGCAAAAGUUCUUUGGAAUAGGACAUCAUAGAGGGUGAGAAUCCCGUAUUUGGUCAUUCCUCCUAGCGUUGUGAUACACUUUCAACGAGUCGGAUUGUUUGGGAAUGCAGUCCAAAAUGGGUGGUAAAUUUCAUCUAAAGCUAAAUAUUGGCGAGAGACCGAUAGCGAACAAGUACCGUGAGGGAAAGAUGAAAAGAACUUUGAAAAGAGAGUUAAACAGUACAGUGAAAUUGUCAAAAGGGAAGCGUUUGACACCAGUGUUGUUUUUCCGAAAAUCAAUUACGAAUGUUUUAUUUUUGAGAGUUAUGACUUCAUCGGCUUGCUUCUCUCUUUAUGAAACUUUCUUAAUGCACUUUUCGGUUAACAAGUCAACAUCAAUUUCUUUUGUUGUAAAAGGGUAUGAGGAAGGUGGCUUUCUUUUCGGAGAAAGUGUUUAUAGCCUUGUAGCCUCUGCAAUCGGAGAGAUUGAGGUCUGCAGCGUAGAUCCUUCGGGAUUAGAUACAUUUGUGCUAAGUUAUAGCUUUUCAUAGACAACUUGUUGACUAUGUUUAGUCUUGUAGCUUACUCGCUGACGCUAUUUUACCUACGCUUAGGAUGUUGAUCUCUCACAGUCGAGC